UUCCCGCGCCAUUCGCGUGCACGCGCGUGAGAGGGGACCAGACACGCAACCGUUAGGAGACUGUCUGGAGUCUGUCUCAAAUUGAUAAAUUUGGAAAUGGAGUUUUACGGGUCUCUGUGCAUCUACAAGGAAGCCGCCUGCUGGGAAAUUUGGAUUUUGCGCUCCUCCUCAGACGUCGCUUCACCUUGAGUCGCCACGCUUUUGACGAAAUGUUUAUUUUUCUUCUUUAGAAAACAAAAAACCCAAAGUUUUUCCCCCCUCUUCUGCAGUCCAUCAGCAGGCAGACAGCUCCUUGUGCCCAGGGAAUUGUUCCUCACCCAUGGAGUUCAAGAUGAGUGCAUCAUGCACGAGGCAGCCUAUUAAAGCACAUAAAGCUGCUGACAUUGACAGUUAUGAUUUCCUGUCAACAAAUGUGCAGAGAGAGCUGUGUUGGUGGACUAGGAGGAAGAUGUCACACUAAGGAUGGGGUUUUUUGGCGAUGAUGUUGGUGCUGUUGAUGCAGCAUCGAGCUCUCACUUUGUGCCUCUGUCAGCUAUGAUCCGUAACCAUAAAGUGAGUGACAGGCCAUUCUCCGGGGGGAAAGCAGAGGUCUGAGAAGCUCAGGCUCCUUUCAGAGGCAGCGAAGAAGACUGACCGUCUCGAAGACAGUGCUGGGAGCAGCCCCCAGUCUGCUCCAACGCUAGUCACUGGCCGUUAGACAUGGCGUUCAAAGACUAGCGGUGCAAGUAUGGAAAUGCAGAUAAGGCAUUGUUGAGGAAACAUGCCUGGGAAUUGUUCAAGGUUUUCACUUGCAUAAUGUUUGGAUGUUUUUUUUUGCAAAUGUUUUAAUCUGGAAACUAAUGAAUGUGAUUUUGAUUAGAUUUCAUGGAGAUUUCUUAUGUUUACACAUACAUUUGUGAACAUGUAAUGUAUUUUUUUGAGUAAACCAACAUAAUAAAGGUUUUAUGUAUGUAUAUUCACUAGAUGACUACAAAAAGAGCCAGAAACCUACUCAUGUAUAAUCUCCAAGGUUUUAUUUACUCUUUUCCGGCUUUUCAGGAGGCAGUUAAUUACACAAUUAAUACAUGAUACAAAUUAUGUACAUUUAUACCAAAGAAUACUUCCAACAUAAAAUAAAAAAUAGCAUUGUAUUCUACAACUCUGUGUUGUAAUUUCAUUUAAACAUGUUCAUAUAUAGAUAGAUAUACGCUGAUGAGUAAAUUCAUAAUGUCGUACCAGCAGUUCUCAUAAAGGCAUUAAAACUUGAGUAAGUCUGCAUUUGAAGUAACACUGCUUCUCUGAUUCGGCACAGUUCUGUUUCAGGAAAAAAAGUUCCAACUCGAACCUUUUAAGGCAAAGUGUGUUUCUGUUUGGUGGAUUUUUCUUUCUUUUUUUUUAUUCACACACACUUUUUGCAGAUGCACAACAAAAGAAAAAAAAACACAUUGAAAAAAAGGCAAAAAAGUCCACAAUUUGGUAUGGAUACAGUCUGAAACUCGAUCAUACUUUUUUUGUCCAUAAAGACCAAAGUUAAUAAACACAGUUGUUUUUGCCCAAAGUACAACAAAUUGCAGCUUUCAUGCAAAAAAGGCCCCAUAAACUUUUUUUUUUCAUUCACAAAGAAAAACAAACAAAAAGGAAACAAAAAGAAGUUAUUGCAAGAUAAACAAGCAGUGUAAACACCUCAGAUAUCUAUUCUAAAGCAACACUGGUCAUUGGAUAGAUUUUUUUCUCAAUAUAAUCUAUAUAAAUACACAUAUGAAGUCCUUUCAACAACGAUAAGAGAUUUGUAAUACAGUCACUGACGGAGUUCCCUUCUUUUUAUGAUAUAUGGAUAUGCAAUAAAAAUGUAAAUAGAGAAAGAUUUACCAAGAACAUCCAACAUCCUGCAUGUAAAAGUCUAAAGAGUGCGCAGAAAUGGUGUCAUCAUUGUCUUUAUGCUACAGAGUUGUUUCUGUGACUCAAAAGGCAGCAUUAUAGCCUUUGUUUAGCUACAAAAAAUUAUUUAUAUUGCUAUUUUAAACUAUAAUAGCUGCACUGAUGCAUUGGCAUAUAAUGAAGAGAACACGCACAUUUAUUUAAAGGCUGUGAGACGACCAUAAUCAUAUAAGCAAGGCCUACUUUUGUGUGUUAGUUACAAAAGAAAAUAAUAUAUAUAUUUUUUUUUGCUCUUUCACUUCCAGUGGCGGUUUUUGAGAUAUGGCUAUCUCCCCAGGGCGGCCUGUUCUGGGUGCGCCAUGACACAGAAGGGAGAAAGAACACAUCUUAACUGAGAAAAUUAUGAAAAGCAUAGUAUAAUUAGUGGUAAAAAAAAACAACCUCUACUGAUAUUUUCUGUAAUUCUUAUGUAUUAUCUCUAUUUAGAGAAAAAAGAUUAUUUUUAGUGAUGCACCAAUUAGAUUUUUCUGGCCAGUAUUCGGCUUGGUAUGAGGUGCUAAUUCUAAUUUUUAUGAAUUCAGAUUUUUAUGUUAAACUAAGACACAUCGAAGAGAAAAUAAAAUGUUUUGCAGCUUCUUUGAUAGGUGUAGUUUUAAUUCAAACAGCAAAUGUUGGAAGUACAAAAUUAUUGCAAUUUAUGCAUGAAGAAUAUAUCCCUAGCCUUAACUUGAUUUUGAACCAAAGACAACUACAUCAGAGUACACACUGCUUGUUGAUGUGUUUACAGACACAAAGUAAAAAAAAAAA